rnacentral:rRNA from 1 species
UACGUAGGGGGCAAGCGUUAUCCGGAUUUACUGGGUGUAAAGGGAGCGCAGACGGCAGUGCAAGUCUGAUGUGAAAGCCCGGGGCUCAACCCCGGAACUGCAUUGGAAACUGUACAGCUUGAGUGUCGGAGAGGUAAGCGGAAUUCCUAGUGUAGCGGUGAAAUGCGUAGAUAUUAGGAGGAACACCGGUGGCGAAGGCGGCUUACUGGACGAUGACUGACGUUGAGGCUCGAAAGCGUGGGGAGCAAACAGGAUUAGAUACCCCCGUAGUCCCU